rnacentral:tRNA from 1 species
GGAUUAGUAGUCAAAUGGUUACGACAUAGCUCUUUCAAUGCUACCACCGCAGGUUCGAGUCCUGUCUAGUCUA